AAAUGCAUGAUAUGAGAUUUCGGUUAUUUUUGUCUUUUAAAUAAUGUAAAGAUUGACCUAAGUUUACUUUUGGUCAUCCUAAUACGGGAAUGGCCAACUAAUUAUACAACUGCAAUGAAUGAAAGUCUUCAAGGAAAAAUUGGGGUAUGACAAUGUCCUUUUAUUUCGAUGUAUUUCCAUAACCUUUUCUUUUUUAUCUGAGGUAUUUCUAGAUGUGUCUUUUUAUUAUGAUGUAUUUCCAGAACCUUUUCCCUUUUUAUCCGAUGUAUUUCUUGAUGUGUCCUUUU
rnacentral:lncRNA from 1 species